rnacentral:misc_RNA from 1 species
GAUGAAGAACGCAGCGAAAUGCGAUACUUGGUGUGAAUUGCAGAAUCCCGUGAACCAUCGAGUCUUUGAACGCAAGUUGCGCCCGAAGCCAUUAGGCCGAGGGCACGCCUGCCUGGGCGUCACACGUCGUUGCCCCCCCAUCUACUCCUUCGGUAUUGCGGGGGGCGGAUGAUGGCCUCCCGUGCGCCUCGUCGCGCGGUUGGCAUAAAUGCCAAGUCCUCGGCGACGCACGCCACGACAAUCGGUGGUUGCGAAACCUCGGUUGCCCGUCGUGUGCGGUCGUCGCGCAUCGAGGGCUCGAAAAAAUUGCCGGGCUCCGGCUCGGCUUUCAACGCGACCCCAGGUCAGGCGGGGUUACCCGCUGAAUUUAAGCAUAUCAAUAAGCGGAGGA